rnacentral:rRNA from 1 species
GUGUCAGCCGCCGCGGUAAUACGUAGGUGGCAAGCGUUGUCCGGAUUUAUUGGGCGUAAAGGGAGCGCAGGUGGUUUCUUAAGUCUGAUGUGAAAGCCCACGGCUUAACCGUGGAGGGUCAUUGGAAACUGGGAAACUUGAGUACAGAAGAGGAAUGUGGAACUCCAUGUGUAGCGGUGGAAUGCGUAGAUAUAUGGAAGAACACCAGUGGCGAAGGCGACAUUCUGGUCUGUUACUGACACUGAGGCUCGAAAGCGUGGGGAGCAAACAGGAUUAGAAACCCCGGUAGUCC